rnacentral:rRNA from 1 species
GACGAACGCUGGCGGCGUGCUUAACACAUGCAAGUCGUACGGUAAGGCCCUUUCGGGGGUACACGAGUGGCGAACGGGUGAGUAACACGUGAGUAACCUGCCCACAACUUUGGGAUAACGCUAGGAAACUGGUGCUAAUACUGGAUAUGUGCUCCUGCUGCAUGGUGGGGGUUGGAAAGCUCCGGCGGUUGUGGAUGGACUCGCGGCCUAUUAGCUUGUUGGUGGGGUAGUGGCCUACCCAGGCGGCGACGGGUAGCCGGCCUGAGAGGGUGACCGGCCACAUUGGGACUGAGAUACGGCCCAGACGCCUACGGGAGGCAGCAGUGGGGAAUAUUGCACAAUGGGCGCAAGCCUGAUGCAGCAACGCCGCGUGCGGGAUGACGGCCUUCGGGUUGUAAACCGCUUUCAGCAGGGACGAAGCUUUUUGUGACGGUACCUGCAGAAGAAGCACCGGCUAACUACGUG